CCAGGUGGAAAAUCCCGUGAUUCACGCAGCUGCUUUGACUAAAGCUUUAACAAAGACCUUCAAGCAUCUAUGUUGGUCAUGGUUCUUGGCUCUGCGAACACUUUCUCCCUUCAGAUGAGGGAGGGUUCAAUGGUCAAACCUGCGACUCCAGCAGAGUGUGAAGUGAACUGACACUAAACUGUUAUUAGGGUUUGAAUACUUUUUAAGGCCUGUCACCAUGAUGAAGAAGCAACGUUAGCCUUACUCCAUCAAGAAGAAUGGAUUGCUUAGCCCGCAGUUCUGGAAGGUCUAGAGCAUGGUACCGGUGAGGACCUUCUGACUUAUGACAUCAGAGAGACAGGGGCCUGCGGUGGAAGAGCUGCUUCCUUUGCUAGACAGAAGGUCAGAGAGAAAUGGGGAUCAAACAGUCCCUUCGGAAGGCACAUCCAUGGUGACCUCAGCACCCUACUUAGGUCUACCUAGGAAAGUUCCCAAUUACCCCAGGAUCACACUUCAUUUAUUUGAAACCCAUGUUCAGUCCUAUGACAAUUUUCUUCCAAGUGAAAAAGGUAUUUCUGAACAAUGAUUUGAAACAAUUUACCCACUGUUUACAUUCUCACUGCAUGCCUGGUCCAACUGUAUGAACUCCUGGUCUCAGCGUCAGCAACUCCACGAAGGCUUCAGAUGCUCACCUGAACUUCACAAUGAAUGGAAUGUUUGGUUUCCCACAGAUGUCAUGGAGUUCGGGGUGAUUCUGGUUAGGUGAGUUUAUGAGGGUGGAUCCUUCCUAAGAGGAAUCAGUGCCUUUCUCAGAGGCAUGAAAGCCUGGCACCCAUCUCUGCUUUGUGGGGUUGCAAUAGAAGGUGUUCUGGGUCCACCUAGAAAAGAGCCCACUUCAGGGUCAGACCACCUGACCAUGUAGGUUCACAGAGGAAGUGGAAAGGGAACAUUGACUUCAUAUUUUUCUGUGAUCUAAUUAAUAUUUAUGUAGUUCUGUGCAUUUUGUUUUUAUUUUAAAAUUUACAGUUUAUAUAUUAGUAAACUUGGGCUAAGAUUUAUUAUUUAGGACAUGCAUUUACUUUUAUAUAAAAGAAUCCCAAAAUGGCAUCAAUUAAGUGAAGGGUUUAAAGCCCUCUAUCGUACAUCUAUCUCUGAGGCUGAAUUUUCACUAACUGCUUUUUGAGGGAAAAGCUAUCAAGAGUUGUUCUCCACCUACACAUGGCAGCUCCAGGCACUUUCACCAGGCCUCUGAGUUGCUGAAUAACAUUUCCUUACACAAAUUCCUAUCUGGAGCUCCACUUCAAUCUAUUUCAAUUUCUUAAGCAGCACAGGAACAAAUACCACAUUAACUUUAAAUAUCAAAAGCAUGCACUCAUGUUGACAAAAAAUAUUAAGAUCAAAUCAUAUAGCCUAAAUGCCUACUUUGUAUUUGGUUUAAGAAUUCGUUUACAUACUCUCUUAUUUCCUGGAGGCUUAAACGUUUACAUCAGAAAGUGUAUUGUAUGUUACACUUUAAAAUCAAGCUAUUAGAUUUUAAAAGUUCGCCAAACACUAACAGAAUGCUAAUGCUACCUUUAUAUGGCUCUGGGAAGGAAUGAAAAACCCUCAUAUGGAAAGCUCAUUUGAAUUCAAAUCCUCUUAUGCUUGAGGAGCCUAUGAAACAGGAAAACAAAUCUCCAGCACGUGAACCUGUAGGGGCGAGCCUCGCCCCACGUAGCAUCCACUUGCUCUCACAGGCUGCAUUGCAGAGCACAGCUGCAUCAGAGCUAUCAAUUUGCAGAGUUACGGACACGUCACCUACCCAAUCUCUCUUUACCAUUUUUUCAAGCAUAGAGUUGUGUUGGUUAUUAAAAGCAUUUCCUAGCCUAGACAAAGUCUGACUUUCUACUCGUCACAACUUCAAUCUCUAUUCCAAACACAUUUAAUCUACUUCCAACUGGCAAUCCCAUGGGGAAAAUACAGUAUCAUUUCUCAGAGUAGUUCUGUAUGACUUUGAUAUGUAGGAUUAUUUGGGGUGGAGCAAACAUACCUUUACGUUCUUUUUUUUCAUCUGGAAAUGAGAAGAUUGGAAGAUUCCAAAAUAAAGACACGUUUUCGUUUUUCUUCUUUAAAAUUCAUUAAAACAGAAACUCAUAUGGAAUAGCAACCAAAUCAUUGGCUCAACAUG
ensembl:lncRNA